rnacentral:hammerhead_ribozyme from 1 species
AUCCAGCUGACGAGUUGCAAAUAGAUCGAAAUCCACGUCCUGGAU